rnacentral:tRNA from 1 species
UGGGAAGUAGCUCAAUUGGUAGAGCACUGGUCUCCAAAACCAGUAGUUGUGGGUUCAAUUCCUGCCUUCUCAG